rnacentral:rRNA from 1 species
GAUGAACGCUGGCGGCGUGCUUAACACAUGCAAGUCGAACGGAAAGGCUCCUGCUUGCAGGGGUACUCGAGUGGCGAACGGGUGAGUAACACGUGGGUGAUCUGCCCUGCACUUCGGGAUAAGCCUGGGAAACUGGGUCUAAUACCGGAUAGGACGAUGGUUUGGAUGCCAUUGUGGAAAGUCUUUCGGUGUGGGAUGAGCUCGCGGCCUAUCAGCUUGUUGGUGGGGUAAUGGCCUACCAAGGCGUCGACGGGUAGCCGGCCUGAGAGGGUGUACGGCCACAUUGGGACUGAGGUACGGCCCAGACUCCUACGGGAGGCAGCAGUGGGGAAUAUUGCACAAUGGGCGCAAGCCUGAUGCAGCGACGCCGCGUGGGGGAUGACGGCCUUCGGGUUGUAAACUCCUUUCGCUAGGGACGAAGCGCAAGUGACGGUACCUGGAGAAGAAGCACCGGCUAACUACGUG